AGCAAUAUCCUUUGCAGAAUUUCAAAGAGUUGCUGGCAGUUGUUAAGCUGGUGCUGUUUAACUUGGACAUCUGUCCACCCAGGCCGAGAUGACCAACUUACUUUACAUCACCGGCUAGCAAUCAAAUAAUAAUUACUUCGGGUUACUACAGGCUGGAGCUGGCUUUGAGUGAAUGAUUUCAGAGCACUGGAAUCCAUUACCAAUAACCCAAACCAGCUGGGUUCUCGUCUCUGUUACAAAGAAAGCAGCAACAAUUCCAAGCAUUAAUUCAGACCCCGAGCACUAGCUGGAUCCCCAGUCCGUGGGAGCAGUGGCAUGUACUCCGAUGUAAUUACCUCAAGAUGGAAGCUACACGGACAUCCUACGGAGAGCGCCUCAGAGUUUACAUUCUGCGCCACAUUUCACUCUCCAGAGUUAAACGGAAAAGGCUCAUUAUUGUUCAGUGCUUGCUGAGAUAAUAAGGAUGCUAUGGGAAGAACACUUCGGAGUCAGAAUCUUAUCGGAUUCCAGGGCAAGCCCUGAAGCCACCAUUCCUGCUGUGACAGAAGAGAGCUGCCUUGCAAUAACAUGGGAACACUGAGGAAGGUACUGUCUCCUGAAUUGGGUAGCCUCUGCAUGAAUUCAGAGGGAGAAAAAAAUCACUUGGUUGCCAGGCGUGCAGCCAGCCCGCCGUGCUCUCAGCUUCAAGAAACCAGCUGCCCCCCUCUGCAAGGAGCUUUGUGUCCCUUGAGAUUAUCAAAGGGCUCACAAACACAUUCGCCAUCCCAGGAGAGCAGCUCUUUGGUGAUCACCCCCCUGUGACACCAGGGAAAAGGAGAGCUGGGGCGUACAACACGCUCACCAACAGGCUACAAGGAAAUGCAGGGGGCAGGGAAGAGUUGUUGGUUUGGGGUCUGCAUUUUCUAAGGGACGGUAAAGAGUCUGCAGCAAAAUGCCAUCAAAAUCACCUUGAGAACCAAUUAGUGCCUUUACAUUUAAAUGUACUUAAUACAUCAGCCCUGAAGCUGGGCAGGAUCUUCCCAGUCACAGCCAGUUCAACCCUGCUGCCUGUUAACGGGACGGGUCACCGCGAUGCCAACACCACGAAGGACAAAGAACGAGCGAGGACAAAUCCGCCCUGGCCCUGCCAUCCCUUAGGUCAUACAGAAGGCCGGUGUUAUGAUUAUCCAGCACCAUUAACCUCAGCUUCUGCCCGUGGCAGAGUCCCAGCUGAAACAGGGCAGCUGAGGCAGAGCUCCUGUCAGAGAGGGACCCAAGGAUCUCCUAGGCACUGGUCUGGGCUGGACACGGCUGCGAGCAGCCUGCUGAGGUUGCUGGCGGUCUGCUCGAGCUGAAAUCGUCCCGUGAUUCCGUGAACUUACCAUCCUUUGUUUUUCAGAGGACAACAGCUCCUGCUUUGGAUUUCAACACUGCACGGCUGCUGCUUUCCCUCUCGAACGCAGACCUCGCAGUGAGGCGGUCUGAAGAGGGGCUGGGGAGCAGCCCCUGCCUUCCCGGCAGCCAGGCACACUGCCUGCCAGGGGCUGCACCUCUGUUCCCUGGAGGCUGCCAAGCCUCACAGUAACUGCUGCGGCUCUGUUAUACAUUUUGCCCUAUUCCCUGUUGCUGCUUUAACCCUCUGUGGCAGCUCCGGCCCUGGCAGGAGCAUCCUUGGCUGUCUACACAAAUCCGCAGGACUGCGUGAGGCUGGUAAGCUUCCCAUUUCUUCAGCAUAACCGAGGCAAGACUGUGCCUAAAGCAGCAGGCACGUGUCUUGAAACCUUCUGAUUAUGCAGCUGGGAAAGCCCUCUCCCUCUGAAAUUAUCAAAUACUAAAAAGAGAGCAAGCGAGAGAAAGAACAGGGGCAGGGUGGAGAGGAGAGGGAAUAUCUAUGGCCUUCUGCACCCGAUUCUGUCACUCUGACAUUUCUUUCAAAUACAAUUAUUUAAAGCCUCCUGAUGGCAAAGCUGAGGAAAUGGACUAAUAGUAGCUUGUACGGUACCUCUCCGUCAGGCAGUUCAAUAAAUCCUGGCAGUGCUGUGAUUUGUGUUAGGAGAAUGAGC